UUAUAUUGUACAAAUAACUAAGAAACCCAAUUUUUUUGUAACAAAUAGCCUCGGUUGAUUUUAGUCCUAAGCAAUGUUAAUUUAGAAGAUUUUAUUUUAACAACCUCCCCCCCCUGCCGAGCUCGCAGUUGGUAGGGGCCGAGAUUGCGCAACAGGUCAGGGGUCACGAGGCGGCUGGACGCGUCUGUCCACUCGGCGUGCGAAUCGUUGCGGUGAUUGUUGCCCGGCGCGUUAUCCCGUUCGCGUCGUGACGGCGAUCGCCUUGUAAUUGUCAGACACGUUUAUAAUUGUCGGUCGCCUUGUUAUCGUCAGUUCACAUCGCGGUCGGUGACGGCGACGGUCAAAGGAAGGCCUCGGCCUCAGUCGGAACCUCGACAGGAGGGCCUGUGCAUGUGAGCGCGCCCCCCUCUGCCCCCCAGUGCCCCCCUCUGCCCCCCGCGGUGCCGAUGAGCGCGUACGAGCGCUCGCUGUGCCGAUUCGUGGACGCCGGUCGCUCAGGCCGGCGGAACGCGUUGCCCGACAUCAUGGCGGCGUCGUCCUCGGUGGGAACGGCGGGCCUCUCGGAGCAGCUGGCGCACGCCCUCACGCUGCUGGGGCCCGGAGAGCCACCGACUGGCCUGGCUCAGGGCUGUCUGCAGAGCGAUGGCUCGGCGGCCAGGCUCGGAGACGGAACGGAACCCAAGCGAUGAGGGUUUCUCCACCGGCCCCGUUGCACAAGUCCAGGGAACACUGAACACUAAUGACACUGAACACUAAUCACCCUGAACACUAAUCACCCUGAACACUAAUCACCCUGAACACUAAUCACCCUGAACACUCAAUCUAACACAAGAUGCACACACUUGUCAGAGGCAUACUGGACACGACUCAAUAGCACAUUGAACACGAGGCAAUGUAAUACUGAACACUAACCCAAGUGUAUUUUGAAAACUAUUCAAGUUCUUACUGAACACGAGUCAAAAUGAAUGCUUAUUCAGCUACACAUUGAACACGAGUAAUGCUGAACACCAUGCAGAUGCAUGCUGCACACUGGUCAUACUGUGCAUACGUAACACUGUUCAACAGCAUACUGAACAGUGUUCAUAUGGCAUAUUGAACAGUGUUCAUGAGCUUACUGAACACUUUGGUUGCAUAAGCAUACUGAACUAAUGCGAACUGAACACUGCAGCACAUGGAACAUUCGUCACCAUCCUGAACACUUCCCAAUGAACACUACCUAUCAUCAACGCUAUGCAGGUGAUAUCGGACACUAUUCAGUGGCAAGCUGAACAAUCAAACUGGCGUAUACGGAACUCUAUUCAAUAGCAUGCUGAGCACCAUGCAGGUGCAAAUUGAACGUGAAUCACAUGGCACACGAAAGCCAUAUUGAACACUAGUCAACUCGUCAAGGUGCACAGUGACCACUAGUUAGGUGCAGACUGACCACUAGUCAUGCUGAACGCUCGUCAAGGGCACGCUUUCGGUUAGGGAUCGGCCAAAAAUCCCAAGCAAAGGGGGGGGGGGGGACCCCCUUGGAAAACGAGUCUUGAGACUCGGUGAGGCUUUUCCUGGGGAAAACAGCGCAGGAUCAUUGUUGUUUUGGGCGGUCAUUCACUUGCACAAAUCUCCGGGCAAACCUCUCUCGUGCACACAGAGACCCUACGAUUGAUCUUUCAUAGCGGAGCGACGGCGUUGUUAGCGAGCACCUUUCAAAGCCGGAAUGGCACGCGAGGGCGCCAGCGUCCGUUGGCCCCCAAUUACGCGUUCCCGACCGCUUUUGUCUCCCCAAUGCAUUUAAGGCUCGGUCCACCUAGGGGAGGCCCAAAAUAGCUUGCUGGUAAUGUUUGCCACGGCCCGGAAUCAAACCCGGGUUGCUGGGAAAAUGUAGCGCAGUGUGAACCACUCCCCUACAGCUUAACACAAAGACAAAGACCCCCCGUGUAGCCUUAACAGACAUUUGGGGCUAGUGCUGUUAGCGAGUACCUAUGGAGGCCGGCAUUGCAUACCAGGGGGUGGGUAGCCAGCACCACGUCUCCCUAGUGGCGAUGUUUACACACCGCACCAGGUACCCAUUUGAAGUUGAGUCGACCUUGGGGAGGCCCAGGAACGGUUCAGAUAAUUAUUGUCACCGGUGUUGGCCGUAAGCGUGAAUCGAGCUUUGGGUCGCUGGGUUCAUCGCGUAGCACGCUUACCACUAUGCCACCGUUCCCCAGCCUAACACAGACAAAUAUUCCCCUUAUAGCCUGAACAGACUUUGGGGAAAGUGCCGUUAGCGAGCACCUCCGCUUAAAACACACGCACGCACACGCGCGUACGCACAAAACCACGUGCUCAUCUCACACGUAGAAGGUACGCACACAAGCACGUACCUGCACACGUGACACGCACUAACUGGAAGGGAACAACAGAGGCUAUAGUUUCGCCUUUUGACUCGCGGCCUCCGCAAAUAUUUAUUUUGUUUACGGAUCGGAGUCGACGCUUUGCCAACAUUCUCCAACGGGCGUAGAGGCGACUACCAUUAUCUCGCCUUCUGCUCUGCCUCGGAAGUUUACCGUCACAGCCACUUAGUCAAUUCGCUGCUGGAUGGUGGGGUUGUCCCCCCCCCCCCCUCCCCCCACUGCCUGCCGCACGGCUCGUGCGGGUUGCCCGGUGGGGGGUCGGGGAGCACCCACGAACAGAGGUCGCAAACGGGUUUUGAUUCCUUACCCGUACCCGUACCCGGCCGCACCAGGGUCGCAAAUGGGUACCCGUACCCGGCCGUACCCGUACCCUACCCGUACCCGGCCGGGUACGGGUAGGGUACGGGUAUCGGAUACCUGAUUGCGACCUCUGGGAUGAAGCCAUGUUGCAGGCGCGAGUGGGUUGAUUCUAGGAACUUGAAUUGUGAGAAGAGACAAGACGUUGGGAAAUGAGUGACAAACAGUUACUCACCAGUGACUCACGGUCUACCCGUACCCGUACCCAGCCGCACCAGGGUCGCAAACGGGUACCUGUACCCGUACCCGGCCGGGUAGCCGGGUAUCGGGUAGGGUACGGGUAUCGGGUGCCCGGUUGCGACCUCUGCCCACGGGUGAGGGAGCACAGAAGUACGGCGCAGCGAUUGACUUUGCCGGCGUUGUUCUUCCACUGCCCACCCGCAACAGCCGAUAGCAACCUGUUUUGGCGCGCGGGGGUCGCCCAUCCAAUCACUAUCCAGGCUCAAACCCCCGCUUAGCUUCCGAUAUUAAAUAUUUUAAAUAAGUUGCUCACUUGGUAUUUCUGUCAUCAUGGCAGCGCGAGGCUAUCGCGAAGGUGAGACGUUUGGGUUACGUGACGUGUUGGCGCCUAACAAGUUAAAGUCGUGUAAAGUCACGGAUGGAUAUCGACGGCCAGUACAGUGGGUGGUGGUGUGAUGUUUGCGAUGUGGCGUUCACACUCCUGGGUGAAUCGUCUUCAAAUUCGGAAAAUAUGAUCUCUUAAGUGUCCAUCGCGAAGGAUACUCUGCGUAGUAUUUAACGGUUAGUCACACCAGCGGUAUUGACCAGGGCGGCCGCUGGGCUUGAGCCACGGACCUCGGGCGACUGGUGCGAGCUUGUGGUGAACGUUGGCAGCGUUGAGUUGAUCUCCCGCAUUAGAGGGGUUCAAGCAGAGAAUAGAGAUGCUUGUUGCACCAACUUCAAAGCACCGACGAUGUAUCGCAUGCACAUGCUCCCAGGGGUUGUGGGGAGCGGGGGGGCAGGGGCUGUGAAAUAGGGGGCAGGAGCUGUGGGGAGCGGGGGCAGCGGUUGUGGGUAGCAGGGGCAGGGGCCGUGGGGAGCGGUCGGCAGGGGCACUGAUGAGGGGGGGCAGCCAGGGCAACAGCUUUGUUGUCCUCUGGAUACACUCGCCCCCACCAUAGGAAUGUGGAACUUCCAACCGCAGGCUCAUGGCUGUAUGAAAAAAAACGAGAUAGGCACCAACGCCUCCAAACUGAAGUCGAACGAGAGGCAUCGCCAUGAGCGAGAGAGCGAUAAGAACCCGCAAUACGAGGAAACGGGGACAUCCCCUGCUGGGCAGCUUGUGUCCCCAUCCAUCCCAUUACACUGGUCAACACACUUUUUCUGGCAUAAGGUAUUCCAACGGGUUUAAGGUGCUGAUUCCAAAUCUGGCAUCAGUUUUUGUCUCUCACAUCAGGUUUUUGAGAUAUCAAAUAUUGCAUUUUCAAUAAAAACUGUGGAAGAAAAAUAUUAAAUAAAUGUGGAUAUCUACAUAAAAUUAUAUUAUAAACACACUAUCCUAAAAAAUACAGCACCAUAUUUUAACACUAAAGCCGUCACUGGCUCGCAACAACUUGCAAUCGUAAGCGACAGAGUUAAUUUCGGGUAAAAUCAAUGAAAAUGGGGUAUGCCGAUAGAAUAAAAAUGAGAUGUGAUAGAGCAAGUCUGAGAUCAGGUUUGGAAUCGGCAAGUCCAGGCCAGAAAAAAGAAGUUUUUAAAAAUCCUUUAUAUUAAGUUUACUUGCUUGCUUGCUUGCGUGCUUGCGUGCUUACGACCGUGCAAAUUUUUCGGUCGUUUUCUAACCCACUUCCCGUGAUCCAAUCGAGCUGACAUUUUGCACACAGACUCGUUGUGCGUGACAAUUAAUUUUCGUGAAAAAAAAUUUCCUAAAUUUUACACUGUUUAGGGAAAAACAUUUAAAUAUUUAAUUACCAAUUGCUUAAUGGUGGCAGACAAUCAUCUGACCCAUAGGUGGCAGCCAUCUCAAGCCAGAGGACGAGAGGACUCUAGCCGCCACGCAUAUAAAGGAUUUAUAGUGAAAAACUUUGUUUUUACGGGUUAAUUUUUUAUUGUUGACCAGUGCAAAAACCCCGCACCGAUCGGCCCUCGACGGCCGUGGCGCGAGCCUCGUGAUGGCCGUGUCGGAACCGGCGAGGGCCGCGGGGGGGGGGGGGGGGGGGGUCCGGUCAGAGCAGCCUUUUGUCGACUACGAAUAUUUAUUUACAAACAAACGCUCCCCCGUGUAGACGACGGAGGACGCUUUUGCUUUUUCUGCUUCCGAGUUCGGUCGAGCGCGGCUUGGUGGGGAAUUGUUUGCGGAUACGGGACGCGGAGUGGCCACCCGUCCACUUGAAUGGCAGUGCCGGUGGUGGUGAGGGAGAGCCCUCCGUGGGGUGGUCAGGCGAGGGGGGCAUACCGACGCUCCGAGCGUUUAGCAGGGGCGCAGCCACUGGCAGGCGUCAUCGGGGUCCAGAUACACCCAACAUGUUCAGAUGUGGCACAGAGACACUACGAGUUUACACGAGGCUAGGAUACACAGCAGAUGUAGAUGUGGCACAGAGACACUACGAGUUUACACGAGGCUAGGAUUCACAGCAGAUGUAGAUGUGACACAGAGACACUACGGGUUUACACGAGGCUAGGAUACACAGCAGAUGUAGAUGUGGCUGAGAGACACUACGGGUUUACACGAGGCUAGGAUACACAGCAGAUGUAGAUGUGGCUGAGAGACACUACGGGUUUACAUGUGGCUAAGAUACACAGCAGAUGUAGAUGUGGCUGAGAGACACUACGGGUUUAGUGGGGGGGGGGGGGGGGGGGGGGGGGGGGGUGGUUGGUGACCUCUACCGACCCUCUCUGUCGUCUACCCAGCAACCGCCGGGAACUAUUCGCGAGGUCACCCGCGCAACCUCAAACGCGUGGCCGUGGCCCCCUUGGCUCCUGCUUGGCCUAACCGAAUGGGGGGCUCUCCGCUAGCUCGCGUUUACCCUUUGCAUGUGUCUUGUAAGCAAUAACGUGACUGAACGUGACUUUAAUAAAGAACAUGUGAUGCUGA